rnacentral:lncRNA from 1 species
UUUGUAGACGUAGUGUUUCUUUGGUGGUGGUGGAGAAUGGUAAACUGGAGGGGGAGAGUAGUGCUUAACCGGAGGAGGAGGUGAUUUGUAGACGUAGUGUUUCUUGGGUGGGGGUGGAGAGUGAUAAACCGGUGGGGGAGAGUAGUGUUUGACUGGAGGAGGAGGUGACUUGUACACGUAGUGUUUCUUUGGUGGGGGUGGAGAGUGAUAAACCGGUGGGGGAGAGUAGUGAUUAACGGGAGGAGGGGGAGACUUGUACACGUAGUGUUUCUUGGGUGGUGGUGGAGAGUGGUAAACCGGAGGAGGAGAGUAGUGUUUAACCGGAGGAGGAGGUGACUUGUACACGUAGUGCUUCUUGGGUGGGGGUGGGGAAUGGUAUACCGGUGGAGGUGAGUAGUGUUUAACCGGUGGAGGAGAGUAGUGUUUGACCGGAGGAG